rnacentral:rRNA from 1 species
AGAGUUUGAUCCUGGCUCAGAUUGAACGCUGGCGGCAUGCCUAACACAUGCAAGUCGAACGGCAGCACAGCAGAGCUUGCUCUGUGGGUGGCGAGUGGCGGACGGGUGAGUAAUGCAUCGGGACCUACCCAGACGUGGGGGAUAACCUCGGGAAACCGGGACUAAUACCGCAUACGUCCUACGGGAGAAAGCGGGGGAUCUUCGGACCUCGCGCGGUUGGACGGACCGAUGUGCGAUUAGCUAGUUGGUAGGGUAAAGGCCUACCAAGGCGACGAUCGCUAUCUGGUCUGAGAGGAUGAUCAACCACACUGAAANUGAGACACGGUCCAGACUCUUACGGGAGCCAGCAGUGGGGAAUAUUGGACAAUGGGCGCAAGCCUGAUCCAGCAAUGCCCGGCGUGUGUGAAGAAGCCCUUCGGGUUGUAAAGCACUUUAGUCAGGAACGAAAUACCACGGGUCAAUAACCGGUGGGGCUGACGGUACCUGAGGAAUAAGCACCGGCUAACUUCGUGCCAGCAGCCGCGGUAAUACGAAGGGUGCAAGCGUUAAUCGGAAUUACUGGGCGUAAAGGGUGCGUAGGCGGUUCGUUAAGUCUGUUGUGAAAUCCCCGGGCUCAACCUGGGAAUGGCAAUGGAUACUGGCGAGCUAGAGUGUGUCAGAGGAUGGUGGAAUUUCCGGUGUAGCGGUGAAAUGCGUAGAGAUCGGAAGGAACAUCAGUGGCGAAGGCGGCCAUCUGGGACAACACUGACGCUGAAGCACGAAAGCGUGGGGAGCAAACAGGAUUAGAUACCCUGGUAGUC